CCUACGAGCUGCAGCAGUGAGGAAUAUUGGUCAAUGGACGAGAGUCUGAACCAGCCAAGUAGCGUGAAGGAUGACUGCCCUAUGGGUUGUAAACUUCUUUUAUAUGGGAAUAAAAUGAUCCACGUGUGGGAUUUUGUAUGUACCAUAUGAAUAAGGAUCGGCUAACUCCGUGCCAGCAGCCGCGGUAAUACGGAGGAUCCGAGCGUUAUACGGUGUUAUUGGGUUUAAAGGGAGCGUAGGUGGAUUGUUAAGUCAGUUGUGAAAGUUUGCGGCUCAACCGUAAAAUUGCAGUUGAAACUGGCAGUCUUGAGUACAGUAGAGGUGGGCGGAAUGCGUGGUGUAGCGGUGAAAUGCUUAGAUAUCACGAAGAACUCCGAUUGCGAAGGCAGUUCACUGGACUGCAACUGACACUGAGGCUCGAAAGUGUGGGUAUCAAACAGGAUUAGAUACCCCAGUAGUC
rnacentral:rRNA from 1 species